rnacentral:tRNA from 1 species
GUCUCUGGUCAUGCAAAUGAUGAGGCACUUGGCUGCAAGCCAAAAGGUCGGAGGUUCAAGUCCUCCCAGAGGUA